rnacentral:lncRNA from 1 species
UACAAACUAGCGUUCUGUUCAGUAAUGUAAGUCUGGUAACUCUGGCUUUAGCAAUGUUAGUCUUUGAAAAGAGAAAAUGCAAAGGCAACGGCUGCUAAGAAUAAUUCUCUAUGCAGGGUAUGAGUUGUGUUGUGGCGUGUGGUUAUGUGGUGUUGCAAUGAUACUGCUUUGCCCAUAGGGUGCAUUUCAAAACAUCCUACCUCAAUGGUAGAAGUUUCAAAGUUGACUAAUUAUGGCACAAGCUGUGAGGCUACACGGUAACGGAAAAGCAAAAGUCUUGACAGAUUCACGCCUUCACAAAAGAGACAGCAUUUGACAUAAAGUCAAUCAAUCCUUUUAGAGUUAAAGGACUCACAAAAGAUGGAGACUUCACAGAGGUCUCCCGUUCAGUCAUCCUUUCUGAUCUCAAUAAUAGUUGUGCUGAAUAUCAUCGUAUGGAUGUUUCUAAUGUCAGCAGUGGGAUUAGGGGCUAUGCACCUACAUGACUGCCCCUUACAGCCUUAUAUCCCCAUCUACCUGCUGGUGUUCGGGGUGACGUCCAUCGCCUCCCUGCUCCUAUCCUACCUCAAUAACACACUGGAGACUGGCUUCCUGAGCCUACUGUGUUCCUCCUGCAUCUUCCUGCUCCAGCUCUUCAACCUCGGCUGGUUCAUCACAGGGAGUGAGUGGGUGUACUCCAUAUAUCCCCCGAACUAUGACUCGAAUGGUGGAGAGAAGUACUGUCAGAGGAAGAUAUACCUGUUUGCUUUCUGGUUCAACAGCCUGGGCAGCAUCUGUAUGGCUGUGGGGUUCUUCUGUGCAGUGUACUUCCUCUUCCUUACCUGUGUGAAAAUGGCAUUUAGGGGACACCAUUUACUCCAUUCACAUAAGAGAUCGUAUGGUGUGGACGCUUGAGAACUCUGUGGCACAGAAACCUCACUAACAUGGUUUUUCUGUUCUAUGUGUGGUGUGUGUGUGUGUGUGUGUGUGUGUGUGUGUGUGUGUGUGUGUGUGUGUGUGUGUGUGUGUGUGUGUGUGUGUGUGUGUGUGUGUGUGUGUGUGUGUGUGUGUGUGUAGUGGUGCCUGGAGAAGUGGGUAUACAAUAAUGUUGGCACAAUAAAGUCGCACUGUGUGAAAAAUUGUUUUCCCAUAAUUUUUCCAGGUAUUCACAAUUAAUUGCAAAAAUCUAUAUUUGGGGAGGUGUAGCUGCCCUUUAAUUCAGUUGCACACCAAGCAAGAUACCUUUUGGCGAGUGGGGUUGCUGUAGCCUAGUGUACAACGUACAGUUGAAGUCGGAAGUUUACAUACACUUAGGUUGGAGUCAUGAAAGUUCAUUUUUCAACAACUCCACAAAUUUCUUGUUCACAAACUACAGUUUUGGCAAGUCGGUUAGGACAUCUACUUUGUGCAUGACACAUGUCAUUUUUCCAAUAAUUGUUUACAGACAGAUUAUUUCACAAUUCCAGUGGGUCAGAAGUUUACAUACACUAAGUUGACUGUGCCUUUAAACAGCUUGGAAAAAUCCAGAAAAUGAUGUCAUGGCUUUAGAAGCUUCUGAUAGGCUAAUUGACAUCAUUUGAGUCAAUUGGAGGUGUACCUCUGGAUGUAUUUCAAGGCCUACCUUCAAACUCAGUGCCUCUUUGCUUGACAUCAUGGGAAAAUCAAAAGAAAUCAGCCAAGACCUCAGAAAAACAAUUGUUUUUCAAGACCUCCACAAGUCUGGUUCAUCCUUGGGAGCAAUUUCCAAAUGCCUGAAGGUACUACGUUCAUCUGUACAAACAAUAGUACACAAGUAUAAACCCCAUGGGACCACGCAGCCAUCAUACCGCUCAGGAAGAGACGCAUUCUGUCUCCUAGAGAUGAACGUACUUUGGUGUGAAAAGUGCAAAUCAAUCCCAGAACAACAGCAAAGGACCUUGUGAAGAUGCUGGAGGAAACAGGUACAAAAGUAUCUAUAUCCACAGUAAAACGAGUCCUAUAUCAACAUAACCUGAAAGGCCACUCAGCAAGGAAGAAGCCACUGCUCCAAAACCGGCAUAAAAAAGCCAGACUAUGGUUUGCAACUGCACAUGGGGACAAAGGGCAUACUUUUUGGAGAAAUGUCCUCUGGUCUGAUGAUACAAAAUAGAACUGUUUGGCCAUAAUGACCAUCGUUAUGUUUGGAGGAAAAAGGGGGAUGCUUGCAAGCCGAAGAAUACCAUCCCAACUGUGAAGAACGGGGGUGGCAGCAUCAUGUUUUGGGGGUGCUUUUCUGCAGGAGGGACUGGUGCACUUCAUGAAAUAGAUGGCAUCAUGAUGCAGGAAAAUUAUGUGGAUAUAUCGAAGCAACAUCUCAAGACAUCAGUCAGGAAGUUAUAGCUUGGUCGCAAAUGGGUCUUCCAAAUGGACAAUGACCCCAAGCAUACUUCCAAAGUUGAGGCAAAAUGGCUUAAGGACAACAAAGUCAAGGUAUUGGAGUGGCCAUCACAAAGCCCUGACCUCAAUCCUAUAGAAAAUGUGCAGAACUGAAAAAGCGUGUGCGAGCAAGGACGCCUUCAAACCACUCAGUUACACCAGCCAGCUCUGUCAGGAGAAAUGGGACAACAUUCACCCAACUUAUUGUUGGGAGCUUGUGGAAGGCUACCCGGAACAUUUGACCCAAGUUAAACAAUUUAAAGGCAAUGCUACCAAAUACUGAUUCAGUGUAUGUACACUUCUGACCCACUGGGAAUGUGAUGAAAGAAAUAAAAGCUUGGCUAUGAAAAGCCAACUGACAUUUGCUCGUGAGGUGCUGACCUGUUGCACCCUCAACAACCACUGUGAUUAUUAUUAUUUGACCCUGCUGGUCAUCUAUGAACAUUUGAAUAUCUUGGCCAUGUUCUGUUAUAAUCUCCACCUGGCACAGCCAGAGGAGGACUGGCCACCCCUCACAGCCUGGUUCCUCUCUAGGUUUCUUCCUCGGUUCUGGCCUUUCUAUGGAGUUUUUCCUAGCCACCGUGCUAGGAAAAUUCCCUGUAUUAGGUCAGUUAGGAUCACCACUUUAUUGUAAGAAUGUGAAAUGUCAAAAUACUAGUAGAGAGAAUGAUUUAUUUCAGCUUUUCAUAUCAAAUCAAAUGUAUUUAUAAAGUCCUUUUUACAUCAGC